GUCUGAAAUGUAGCUCAGUGGUUAGAGCAUCCAACCGGUGUGCAGAAGGUCAUGGGUUCGACUCUCCCGUCGGGGACU